rnacentral:lncRNA from 1 species
CUGAAGCAAUGACAAAGGCUGUUCAAAGUGCUGAGGAACCAAGGAAAUGUACAUAUUUGGCUUAAUUCAUAAAACUGUCAUUGAAGGCCAGCUAAGAAGACGAAGAUUUUUGUCCAGGAUCUGCAGCUGUGAGACCACAGAAAGUUUGUUGACUCAUGACCUAGAUGACUGCAAGAGCCUACAAUGAAGUCCCUCUGCAAACAGAAGCAAAAGGCACAGUCUGCUCCUCCUAAAGCAAGUCCACAUCUCUACUCCAGAAAAGAGCAAACUAUUUACAACUAUUUAAAUACAGCCUUUUCAUCUUAAAAAUUACAUUAAGUUUCUGGAAUUCUGAUAUACCCAAUUCCAAGUAAGCAUGCUUUGAGCUGAAUUGAGCCUUUAGGAGUUGGAAUAUUUGGGACCUAGUCCCCAACCAAGUCUUCAGGACUUCUCAAAUAAUUAAUUCAGGCCAUACAAGAGAUUUGGUGAAUGAUACAGAGCAGUAGAAGUCCCAUAAAUGGGGGAAAGAGAAGACAUAGGGGUUACAGGAGAGGAGAGAAGGGUAUUGUUAGGGAAGUACAUGAAGUCAUAAAGUAGCACUUACUGAAGACCUGGGAUUUUCUAAUUAAGCCCAAGCAAUUCUCCUGAAUUCAGUUCAAUUUAUGGGUUCGUAUGCUAAAGAAAAAAAAUAUCAAUUCAUCUUGAUACUAUUUUGAUCAUUAUUUCCACAGGAAAGAUUUCCAACAUUCUUAUUCAGAUUGAAUUUCAUAGUAAAAUACCUACUUCAAAAUUAAUGCCCAUAUGAUUUUUGAGUAAUUUUUACUACUUAUACUUAAGGAAUAUUUUUAUAUUGUUUUCAUUGAAAUGGAAGUUAAAAUAAUCCAGAAAGAAGAAAUUUAAAUAUACUGAUAGCUGCCACAAUGCUAAAACCCUCAGCUGAACAGCCACAAAGAAAGGAAUACUGCUAACAACCUGAAUGGGGUUGGACAUUGAUUCUUCUCCAGUCAAACUUUCAGAUGAAAACACAGCCCAGCCGACACUUUGAUUGCAGAGUGGGAAUCUUUCCUUUUGCACCUCUAUAGUCAGUAGGGCCUAGGAUAUCAUACUCAAGGGUAGUCAGUUUUUGUUUACUGAGUAAAUGUAUGGUGCAAAAAGCUGUUGGCUUAAGAUCUAGACCUUAAGCAGAGAACUAACUAAGUCUUUGCUUACACUUCUAAUCCACAGAAACUAUGAGAUAAUUGUGUUAUAUGUUAGCUGUUAAAUUUGUGGUGAUUUGUAACAUAACAAUAGAAAACUGAUAUACUGGGCAACAUUAUUGUCUCAGUUUGGGUUGCUUAACAAAAUACCAUAAACAAGGUAGCUUAUAAACAAUAGAAAUUUAUUUAUUACAGUUCUGGAGGCUGGCAAGUUCAAGAUCAAGGUGCCAGAAGAUUUGGUGUUUGGUGAGAACCCACUUUCUGGUUCCUAGAAAUAACAAUUUCUCCCUGAGUCCUCACAUAGUAGUGGGGAUGAAGAAGUUCUUUGGGAUCUCUUUUAUAAGGGCACUAAUCCCUUUUAUAAGGGCUCCACCUUAAUGAUCUAGUCACUUCCCAGACGCCCCACUUCCAAAUACCAUCACAUUGGGGAUUAGGUUUCAACAUACAAAUUUUAGGAGGACACAGACAUUCAGACUGUAGCAAUCCCUUGUGCCCAUUUGUUUUUCCUUUAGGAUGGUCAUUUUCUGCUGCUAUGGCCCAGUUUGUGCCUUCAAGGACUGACUGUGUAAAAAAGAGCCCAGAAACUCUUUGAACUGACUUACAGUAGCUUCUUCAGCAGUCAGCUGUAACGAUGGCUGGAGCACCUGGUACCUGAGUGAGGGCCAAGAAUGGGCUCUGCAUGUGCCCUCCCUCAACAAUUGCCCACCACCCAUUCUCACACAAAUGCAGUGGGGGAUGAACCUGUAGGGAUGGGUAAUCAGCCUGAAAGGAACAAUUUUGCAUAUGUGUAAAAUCUGAAAAAAUAAAUUAUUAUUCAUGG